GACGAACGCUGGCGGCGUGCUUAACACAUGCAAGUCGAACGGAAAGGCCUCUUUCGGGGGGUACUCGCGUGGCGAACGGGUGAGUAACACGUGAGUAACCUGCCCUUGACUUUGGGAUAACUUCCGGAAACUGGGGCUAAUACCGGAUAGGAGCUCCUGCUGCAUGGUGGGGGUUGGAAAGUUUCGGCGGUUGGGGAUGGACUCGCGGGUUAUCAGCUUGUUGGUGGGGUAGUGGCUUACCAAGGCUUUGACGGGUAGCCGGCCUGUGGGGGUGACCGGCAACCUUGGGACUGAGAGACGGCCCAGACUCCGACGGGAGGCAGCAGUGGGGAAGAUUGCACAAUGGGUGGAAGCCUGAUGCAGCAACGCCGUGUGCGGGAUGACGGCCUUCGGGUUGUAAACCGCUUUCGCUCAUGACGAAGCUUUGUGUGACGGUAGUGGGUAAAGAAGCACCGGCUAACUACGUG
rnacentral:rRNA from 1 species